rnacentral:lncRNA from 10 species
GUGUGUGCCAGCGCGCAGCCAUGGGAGAGAGGGGAGACCAAAGAGAGAGUCCUGGAGGGUUGCUGGGGAGGAUCAUAAGAUGUACCAGCUGCUCAGCUCACACGGAUGUUGUGAAGAUUAAUGUGCUCCUGUUUGCAAAUCUUGAAGAUGAAAGAAUACCUGUGUGGGCAAAAAGAAGAUCAUGAAAACGAUGCCUAUGAGCGCAGGCAUUAUUUUGUAAGUUGGUGACUUUGAUGCUUCUGUCCUUACAAAAAGAGAAAACUUCUACAAACAGACACAAACCCAAGGCUGGAGGAUUGCUUGAGAUCAGGAGUUCGAGACCAUCAUGGGAAACACUGCAAGACCCUGUUUCUACAAUUUUUUUUUAAUCAGCCAGGCAUGGUCGCACAUGCCUCUAGUCCCAGCAACUUGAGAGGCUGAGGUGGGAGGAUCGCUUGAGCCCAGGAGGUCAAGGCUACAGUGAGCUAUGAUUGCACCACUGCACUCCAGCCUGGGCGACAGACAGAGAUCUUGUCUCUAAAAGAAAAAAAAAAAAAUGCCCCAGAGUCAAAAAUAAAUUAACCCUAUAAACCUAAGAAAACCUUACAUGCUUGUAUAGUUUAUUGUCUUACACUGUGUCUCUAAAUUUUUCAUAGGCUUUA